rnacentral:rRNA from 1 species
CCUACGGGGGGCAGCAGUGAGGAAUAUUGGUCAAUGGACGUAAGUCUGAACCAGCCAUGCCGCGUGCAGGAUGACGGCUCUAUGAGUUGUAAACUGCUUUUGUACGAGGGUAAACCCCGACACGUGUAUCGGGUUGCAUGUAUCGUACGAAUAAGCAUCGGCUAACUCCGUGCCAGCAGCCGCGGUAAUACGGAGGAUGCGAGCGUUAUCCGGAUUUAUUGGGUUUAAAGGGUGCGUAGGCGGUUUUAUAAGUCAGGGGUGAAAUGUUGUGGCUCAACCACGAAACUGCCUGUAAUACUGGUAGACUAGAGAGUGUUUGAGGUAGGCGGAAUGUGUGGUGUAGCGGUGAAAUGCAUAGAGAUCAUGCAGAACACCGAUUGCGAAGGCAGCUUACCAAGCUAUAACUGACGUUGAGGCACGAAAGCGUGGGGAGCAAACAGGAUUAGAUACCCCAGUAGUC